GUUUCCAAAUUCACUUUUUAACUCUAAAAAGUGAAGCUGCACCAUCAUCUUCAUCUUCACUUUCAAAUCCCUCGUAAAAACCUCCACCGUUCAUCUUCAUCGCACCCAGCUCGCCUUCAUCGUCAUCUUCAUCACUGCCAAUGACCGUUGCACCCAGCUCGGCUUCAUGUUCAUCAACCCUUGCACCCGAGCCUCUAACCCUUGCACCCGACCAUCUCUCUGUCACACCCUGGUUGUUUCUCAACCCUCGCACCCAACCCUUGCACCAUCAACGCAACCCUUGUUGGAUUAGUAACCCUCAAUCGUUGGCCCUCUAUCUGUCGCACCAUCAACGCAUCGGGGUGGCCUCCUACUCCCUCAGCGAUCUCUCUCUUGCAAAUCCUCGUUGGAUUCAGAAUCCUCAAUUGUUGCCGUCUCUCCCUCAAUCGGCACCGUAAACACUGAUUAGGGUUUUCAGAAGUUUUUGUGGUGGAUUCAGCACUACCAAUACGGUGAAUGGACCUAAACAGGAGCUCAAUGUGGAGAUACAAGUUUUAAUCAAUGAUGUAUUGCAAAGCAGAUAAAAUUAUAUAUGAUAAAAAUGAAGUUGGCUAAUCUUGGGCAUGCACAAACCACAGAAACAAGACUGAAGAUAGGCGCCAGAGUGAAAAUGGGAUGGAUAGGAGGCUUAGAAAAAAGAUGUUGCAGGAAGGUGUUGUUUUGAGUGGCAGAAUUUAGUUGCGGAAGCAUCAAGAAAAGGAUAUGCUGAGUAGGAAGAGCUGCAAUGGAAUUCCUAUGGAAUCUUGGAUAAACAGCUGAAGCAAGAGUGGUCAGAGUGUGUUGAACAAAGGAAACAAAUGGUGAGGCCACCAGGUAGCAAACGAGCUCCCAAGUCUCCUAAGCAGAGAAGGAAAAUCGCAGAAGCUAUUGCUGCAAAAUGGGCUGAUCCAAAAAUAGGUAUCCUACAAAAAUGAUUUUUGGGCCGUAAAAGGAUUGGGAGGUGCUUGACACACGCUUGAAUGCUGAUGACAUGAAGCUUGUUGCCAAUGCAUACAGGUUCCUCAAGGAUGGGGGUUUCUUGCCCAAUUUCUUUCAUUUGAAUGUUAGCUCUCUAUUUUUUUUUUUAAAUUUCUUUUAGCUCUCUAAUAAAACUGCACGAGUUAACUCAAGUAAAUACUAUAUAGUUAUUACUUGUAAAUAAUGUUAUAUAGCAUUAGCAAUAUAAAUCACUCAAUGAACCUGAACCUGGUUUCUAUAUCCACAACAAAGGUAAGUUGAAAAGACUCCCAUCUUUUCUUAUGAACAACUAUGAUAAAAGAAGUUGUUAACACUGUAAAGAGACUCUCCAUCUUUUGGAUUAAUUUAUUCUUUCAAGGUUAUUUUUUUAUUAAAUAGUACAUUAAUUAAUUGCUUUCAACAAGAUUUGCCAACUGUAGUGAUGUAUUUCCUGUUUAUAUUAGAGAUGAUAGAACCGAUGAAGAUGCAUUCAAGAGGACAAGGUCUUGGAAUUCUUGUCUCGAAAUUUUCGGAAGACACUAUUGCAUCGUACUCUUUACAGAACCUAAUGAG